rnacentral:misc_RNA from 1 species
AACGCACAUUGCGCCCCUUGGUAUUCCGAGGGGCAUGCCUGUUCGAGCGUCAUAUUAGCCAAUCCAGCUUGCUGGGUCUUGGGCACCGCUAUAUAGCGGGCCUCAAACACAGUGGCGGUACGGCCGGGCUCUAAGCGUAGUAAUUCUUCUCGCUAUGGGGUCCUGGGCGGCACCUGCCAGCAACCCCCAAUUUAUUAGGUUGACCUCGGAUCAGGUAGGGAUACCCGCUGAACUUAA